UGGGGGAUUUUGCACAAUGGGCGCAAGCCUGAUGCAGCGACGCCGCGUGAGGGAUGAAGGCCUUCGGGUUGUAAACCUCUUUCGCUGGGUUGAAAGGCCAUGCUUUGGGUGUGGUUGAUUUGAACUGGUAAAGAAGUACCGGCUAACUACGUGCCAGCAGCCGCGGUAAUACGUAGGGUACUAGCGUUGUCCGGAUUUAUUGGGCGUAGAGGGCUUGUAGGUGGUUUGUCGCGUCUGUCGUGAAAUCCUGUGGCUUAACCAUGGGCUUGCGGUGGGUACGGGCAGGCUUGAGUGCAGUAGGGGAGACUGGAAUUCCUGGUGUGGCGGUGGAAUGCGCGGAUAUCAGGAGGAACACCGGUGGCGAAGGCGGGUCUCUGGGGCGUUACUGACACUGAGGAGCGAGAGCGUGGGGAGCGAACAGG
rnacentral:rRNA from 1 species